ACUACGUCAUGUAACAUUGGAAGUGUUAAUCUUUGUAUUCUUCCAAUUUAACCCAAUUUAUCUGCAAUAUAUAUUUGCAUCUAUUCGAUUAUAAGUAUUCUAUAGUGCAUUUUCUUAAGUUGGAGUUAUUUCUUUUUGUAAGCAACAGUCAUUGCUUGUCUGCUACAGAAAGAGACUCAUGGUUAAUAAUAUCUAAAACAACUAGUUUUCUUUGUCUUGAUUCAUCACCUGUAGUUCGAUUACGUUUUUAUAUUGUUAAACCAAAACAAUGGUUUUUUAAUCACCCAAGGGAGUGUUCUAGUGGUCAAUCGAGUGGUAGGUGCAAACUUUGGAGACCAGGGUUCAAAUCCUAGCAUAGACAAAAAAUUCUAGGUGAUUUCUUCUCAUUUGCCUAAGCCUUGGUGGGCAGAGUUAUUGGUACCUGUUUUGGUGGGAGGCAGCAGGUGGAAUAAUCAAGGUGCGCGAAAACUGACUCAGAUUACACCCUUAUCGGAAAAUAAAAGGACAAAGGUGGUUUUUCUGAGACUUAAAUUUUCAGAUCCAAUUAUGGCUGACCAAGAGAUAGCGGUUAGUUUGUCUGUCUUAUUAGUGGAUAGCAGUUUUACACGAGUAUGGUAUGUGACCUUGAUCUUAUUGACCAAUCUGGUUUUGGUUAUUAUGUACACGUUCAUCUAGGGCUAAAGCUGCUAAUUAUUUAUCUCUUGAUUAAUUCAUCUGAAAUAUAUUUGAAACUAUACAAGCUGGAUGAGCAUACUCUUUGUAGCAAAGUGACAUUAAUCUUCAACUAGUGCUUGGAUACCUUUUUAAUCUGCAAAAAAUGGGUUUUCUGUUAAGCUAGUGCUGCGGUCGUUUACUAUUUUACUGGGCUUGAUUUCUGGCAUUCCUUAGCAUCUCUGAAUAAAUAUUUGCAU